GGGCGGUUAGCUCAGGGGGAGAGCACUACCUUGACACGGUAGGGGUCACAAGUUCAAAUCUUGUAUCGCCCA
rfam:Slackia heliotrinireducens DSM 20476, complete genome.